CAAAUUACAUGUGCGUCAGCGAUUCAAUCAGUAAUCAGACCAUAUAACGAGGUUAAGUGGCUUCGAGAAAGGGGAGUAGACAAGAGGAAAUCAAUCGUAUGUUCUCGGCUAAUUCCGUCAAGUUUCGGAGAAAUAGCAUGGCCGUUCGUCGAGAGACUGCCGAGGCCUUCAGAGAUUUCGAAACCAAGACAAUAUUUCGUCCAGCUAGCAAUGUUUAAAACAAGAGCUGGACGUGACACAAGACCGGAAGUGGUUUGGCCAUUGUCGACACGUCCUCCUUGGGACGCUUCCGUGAUGACGUCUGCGGCCAUGUUGUCAUGUUCAACUUGAUGGUGUCAGUUUUAGAUGUCGCAUUUGCGUGCUCUUCGUUGUGGUGGCCGCGAGGGAGCGAGAAUUCCAGACGAGGGAGCGAUAUCAGGGCGGUGAGAUAAUGUGAAGAAAAAAAAAUGGUGACCCUAACACAGAACAACGACUGGGAGUCUUUAAAAUCUUGUUCCAAAUUACCAAAUCAAACGAGGGGAGGGCCUCCCUAAAAUGAUGCCUUUAUUACUCGACAUUGCCGAAUUUGGGAAAAUAGUCUACUGUUUUAUUGGCAAUAUGAAUGGUUGCUGUAAAACCCCUUCUCUGGAGUACUUCACUCGGGGGAAGUGACCCCUUACGAGUUGCCCAACAUACAUGUACAGUGUACAUGAACACGGGAAAAUGACACUUAAAAUCUUUUCCGGUUUUCCUCGAGUCUCUUCUGGUUUAUCCUCUAUAAUAUACACGAACACUUACGGCGAAUUGAGGUUCUUUAAAUACAAUUAAAUUUGAACAGUGGAAGAAGUUUUGUGUGAAAUCCUACACUCGACGGUGAAAAGCUCCGGAACUUUUUGAUAGACUUAAAGUAAAAAGUUCGCUUGGUAAAUGAUCUUAAAAAAUUGAUGGUCUUUUAAAGCCAUCUUCUGUUAUUGGAUUGAGCAGAAAUAUAUUCUGCAUCAAGAUCGCUCGGAUCUCAAGUCCUAAACGAGAGCACAUGACAUUAUCAAUGAUACAAAUGCACUUUGUUGGAAUAAGGAAAAAUCAACGACUCUCUUUCCGCGCAAACGUCCGGGGUUCGAUUCCGAGCAGAUUUCUUUUGCUCUGAUUCCCGGGACAGCCAAACAGUCAGUCCUCUCUAAAUCAAUUAAGAGGAUUCCCGAAAGGUGAAGUUUCGAAUUCGCUGAUCAGACCCGAGGAUAGCCGAAAGGUAUAAAAUCGUCGAUGGUGGAUUUUCGUUUAUUAUAGUUUGUCGCCAGUACCAUCACAAUUAAGUGAUAAGGACAUCUUGGAAAUCAAUGUACGGCUGGGACAAGGUGAUCAUUUAUUGAUGUUGCGCGGCGCAGGUUUAAUGGAGAUUUAUCUACGCUAGGAGAUAAGCAUCUUAGACCCAAUCUAGGCCCGUAGGGAGCGCUGUCAUUCGUCCAUUUCUAAAUGAAAACCGUCUCCACCAUUUUCACGCUCAACCAGCUUACAUGAAUAUACUUGUAUGAAUAAUUACUAUCAGACAAAAUAUCCAUUGGAUCAGGGAGAAAAUACUGGCUACUGUUUAUAAACAAAUAUACAUCAUAUUAUCUUGACACGCGGCAUGAGUACGUGUCAGUCGGUACUCCAUAGAGCUGAAUUAGUAACAUGUUUCUCGAGUUAGUAACACAUGUCUCGAAUUAGUAACACUUGUCUCGAAUAAAUAACACGUACCUCGAA